rnacentral:pre_miRNA from 1 species
AUAUACUCUCAAGCAUAUCAACUCCGAAGCUAUACACAUCGGAUUUGUCCGACAUUGUAUUAGACAUAUACAAUGUUGGAGACAUCUGAUGUAUAUAGCUUUGGGGUUGAUAUGCUUAAGAGUAUAU